rnacentral:rRNA from 1 species
GACGAACGCUGGCGGCGUGCCUAAUACAUGCAAGUAGAACGCUGAAGGAGGAGCUUGCUUCUCCGGAUGAGUUGCGAACGGGUGAGUAACGCGUAGGUAACCUGCCUGGUAGCGGGGGAUAACUAUUGGAAACGAUAGCUAAUACCGCAUAAGAGUAGAUGUUGCAUGACAUUUGCUUAAAAGGUGCAAUUGCAUCACUACCAGAUGGACCUGCGUUGUAUUAGCUAGUUGGUGGGGUAACGGCUCACCAAGGCGACGAUACAUAGCCGACCUGAGAGGGUGAUCGGCCACACUGGGACUGAGACACGGCCCAUACUCCUACGGGAGGCAGCAGUAGGGAAUCUUCGGCAAUGGACGGAAGUCUGACCGAGCAACGCCGCGUGAGUGAAGAUUUUUUUCGGAUCGUAAAGCUCUGUUGGAAGAGAAAAACGAGUGUGAUAGUGGAAGGUUCACACUGUGACGGUUCUUACCAGAAAGGGACCUCUAUUCGUGCCAGCUUGUGCGGGUUAUGUUGGCCCCCUGUGUGUUCGAUGUUUGGGGUGUGGGUGGGUGUUGGUGGGUUGAUGUUGUUGAGUGUGAUGCCUGGGCUCACCCUUUCCGUUUUGUAAGUUGUUUAAUUUGUGGGAAGAGUGGGAUAGUGGUAUUGGGUGGUUUUGGUUUUUUUUGUUGAUAUAUGAAGGUGUCUUUUUUUGUUUUUGUUGUUUGUGUUGUUGUGUGUGGGUCGGGGUGUAUGCGUGUGGUGUGGUGUGUGUGUGAUGGUGUUGUGGUGCUUGGUGUGUAGUUGUGUUUUUUGGUGUUGCGUUUGUGUUCGUUGUGUCUGUGGAAAAACAAUAAUGAUGAAUUGAUUAAUGUUUGUGCCUGUGCUGUGUGUGUUGGUGGAUUCGUCUGUCUGUGCGCCCCCUGUGUGU